AAAUGACGGUACCCCAGUAGAAAGCCCCGGCUAACUACGUGCCAGCAGCCGCGGUAAUACGUAGGGGGCGAGCGUUGUUCGGAAUUAUUGGGUGUAAAGGGCGCGUAGGCGGGUUUUUAAGUCACGUGUGAAAAACCCCGGCUCAACUCCGGGGUUGCGUUUGUAACUAGGUGUCUUGAGGGCGGGAGGGGGGGGAGGAAUUCCCCGUGUAGCGGUGAAAAAAGUAGAUAUUUGGAGGAACACCACUGGGGAAGGCGGCUUUCUGGGCCGUUCCUGACGCUGAGGCGCGAAAGCGUGGGGAGCAAACAGGAUUAAAUACCCCCGUAGUCCCCCCCCUAAACGAUGGAUGCUUGGUGUUGGAGGGUCGACCCUUCGUGCCGCAGCUAACGCAAUAAG
rnacentral:rRNA from 1 species